UAACCCAGGUUGUAAGGCCUGGCUGAACCGGCAGAAGUCAGCAGAGGUCAUAGUAGCCAGUAUUGACGUCAAACUGGUGAAGGGC
rfam:Carboxydocella sporoproducens DSM 16521 genome assembly, contig: BR84DRAFT_scaffold00053.53